rnacentral:rRNA from 1 species
UACGGAGGGUGCAAACGUUGCUCGGAAUCAUUGGGCGUAAAGCGCACGUAGGCGGCCUGUUAAGUCGGGUGUGAAAGCCCCCGGCUCAACUGGGGAGGGUCACUUGAUACUGAUCGACUCGAAGGCAGGAGAGGGAAGCGGAAUUCCCGGUGUAGUGGUGAAAUGCGUAGAUAUCGGGAGGAACACCAGUGGCGAAGGCGGCUUCCUGGCCUGUUCUUGACGCUGAGGCGCGAAAGCUAGGGGAGCAAACGGG